UGUGACCAAAUCAGGACGCUUAGAAUAUGGCCACUCGAAUGACUCAGCGCAGUAUGAAGUUUUUGUUUUCUUCCGAAAACAAGCUCAAUGAGAGCCAUCGGGGGUAGAUCUAUCUCAUGACGAGUGGUGGAAUACUUUGACUCAUGAGAGAGAAGUUGAGGCGAAGGCGUCUACCUAGAGGGUUUCUGUCGAUCAAGGGCGAGAGUAGGAGUAUCCAACAGGAUUAGAGACCCUGGUAGUUCCUACCUUAAACGAUGCCGACAGGAGUUUGUCAUUUGUUAAUGGCAGAAUCUUUGGAGAAAUCAUAGUUCUAGGGCUCUGGGGGAACUACGACCGCAAGGCUGAAACUUGAAGGAAUUGACGGAAGGGCACACCAGGGGUGGAGCCUGUGGCUUAAUUUGAAUCAACACGGGGAAACUUACCAGGACCAGAUGUUUUUUAUGACUGACAGGCUUCGGGUCUUUCAGGAUAUUGUUUUUGGUGGUGCAUGGCCGUUGGUGGUGCGUGGGUUGACCUGUCUAGCGUUGAUUCAGCUAACGAGCGAGAUUAUCGCCAAUUAUUUACUUUGCCGAAGUCCUUCGGUUAAAGUUCUAAUUGGGACUCCCUGCGAUUUUAGCAGGUGGAAGAGGGUAGCAAUAACAGGUCCGUGAUGCCCUUUAGAUGCUCUGGGCUGCACGCGUGCUACAAUGUUAGGAUCAAUAGGACUGCGAGCCUGAGAGGGUGCGCUACUCUUAUAAUCCCUAACGUAGUUGGGAUUGACGUUUGUAAUCAGCGUCAUGAACCAGGAAUCCCUUGUAAAUGUGUGUCAACAACGCACGUUGAAUACGUCCCUGCCCUUUGUACACACCGCCCGUCGCUCCUACCGAUUGGAUGACUCGGUGAAAUCACCGGAUGCUUACGAGCAGAAAGUGAUUAAAUCAC
rnacentral:ncRNA from 2 species